GGACCUCCUUCCCGGGACGCACUUGGCUCGCAGCUGGGCUCCAGGCUACCCUGGAGCGGAGCGCGCCUCCCUCCAGCUGCGGGCGGAUCUGGCUCUGACGAAACGCUGAGGGAAUGCCUGACCGUGUAGCCUCCGCAGCUUGCUCGAGAUCCUUGCUGUCCCUAGACAAGUACCUUUAUUCAUUCGUCCCUUCCCCAUCAAUCACCGCCAGACUCCUCCCGCCCCUUGCGGCCGCGCGGCGACCUUUCCCCUUGAGCGACGCCUGGACUGCAUCAGCAGGACCUGCCCGCUGCCCCAGGGGGCAGUGCUCGGCCCGCGACGCGUCCUGAGGGGCUGCGGAGUUGUCAUGGUUCUCAGGUCUUCAGAUGAUGAGCCCAAACCAAGGGCAAGUUUUCACACACCCCGCGACGCUCGAGGCUUCAGACUAGACCCGGGCUCUGAAUUAAACGUGUUUCAAGCCCGCUAGGACUUUUCAAAGAAAACUGGACCUCAACUUAUUAAAAAAAAUAAAAAGCCCACACCCUUCAGGGAGAGGAUUCCUGGGGCUUUGGAAUUCAACACCUUUGUCCUGACUUCACCCCUACCAGUUGUGCAACCAGAGCCUUGGCCUCUGAGGAAGACAUUUUUGAUGGUGCCAUUUCAAGAUGGCAUGGGCUGCCCCAUUAGGAGGUGGAUAUUUAGCCGUAGAGGCAUUCAAGCAGACACAAAACAGCAAAUGUCAGAAUUUUGAUCAACAAAUACAAAUUGCCUCCUUCCUAAGAGAACUCUAAAUUAUGUGCCACAAUCUUCUCCCUCCUUCCAGACUCUGGGACUUGAAUGUAUAAUUGCAGCCCGUUGUCUGCAACGUAAUUAUAGCCUCAUUGACUUGCUGCACAGCAGGAUGACAAGAGUGCUGGCUGUCAGACAGGGUCAGAGGUCAGCCAUUACCCCACGGACUGCAGGCAGUAACCUCAUCAGGAUUCUCGGGAAGCCUCCUCUCAGCCGUGGGACGGGUCCGCAGCUGCCUGUGUGCCUCAGCAGAUGACUCUUUGCAUGAAAACACGGACUGUUUUCAAGACACAACAUCCCAAGAUGCCAUUUGAUUUCUUGUUUUCUUAUUAAAGACAUAA